rnacentral:rRNA from 1 species
AGGACGAACGCUGGCGGCGUGCUUAACACAUGCAAGUCGAACGAGAUUAAGUUGGAAGCUUGCUUUAACUUAGUCGAGUGGCGGACGGGUGAGUAACGCGUGAAUAAUCUGUCCUAUACAGGGGGAUAACGCAUCGAAAGAUGUGCUAAUACCGCGUAGGACCACAGCAUCGCAUGGUGCAGGGGUGAAAGGAGUAAUCCAGUAUAGGGUGAGUUCGCGUCUGAUUAGAUAGUUGGUGAGGUAACGGCCCACCCAAGUCAACGAUCAGUAGCCGACCUGAGAGGGUGAUCGGCCACAUUGGGACUGAGACACGGCCCAGACUCCUACGGGAGGCAGCAGUGGGGAAUAUUGGGCAAUGGGCGAAAAAGCCUGACCCAGCAACGCCGCGUGAAGGAAGAAGGUUUUCGGAUUGUAAACUUCUGUCGCAGAAGACGAAGGAAGUGACGGUAUUCUGUGAGGAAGCCCCGGCUAACUACGUGCCAGCCGCCGC